GGGGAGUGUGAGAGACUGAUGGUGGAGGAUGGGGGAGUGAAACAGACUGAUGGUGGAGGAUGAGGGUGAGAAACUGAUGGUGGAGGAUCGGGUGUCUGAGAGAGAAUGAUGGUGGAGGAUUGGGGUGAGAGACUGAUGGUGGAGGAUCGGGUGUAUGAGAGAGACUAAUGGUGGAGAACAGGGUGAGAGAGACUGAUGGUGGAGGAUUGGGGUGAGAGACUGAUGAGAGACUGAUGGUGGAGGAUUGGGUGUGUGAGAGAGACUGAUGGUGGAAGAUCAGGGUG